rnacentral:rRNA from 1 species
UACGGGGGGGGCAAGCGUUGUCCGGAUUUAUUGGGCGUAAAGAGCGUGUAGGCGGCCAUGUAGGUCCGGUGUGAAAACUCGAGGCUUAACCUCGAGAUGUCAUCGGAAGCCAUUUGGCUAGAGUCCGGAAGAGGAGAGUGGAAUUCCUGGUGUAGCGGUGUAAUGCGCAGAUAUCAGGAAGAACACCAAUGGCGAAAGCAGCUCUCUGGGACGGUACUGACGCUGAGACGCGAAAGCGUGGGGAGCGAACAGG